UACAGAGGUCCCGAGCGUUGUUCGGAUUCAUUGGGCGUAAAGGGUGCGUAGGCGGCGGGGCAAGUCUGAUGUGAAAUCCCGGGGCUCAACCCCGGAACUGCAUUGGAUACUGCCUUGCUCGAGUACUGGAGAGGGAACUGGAAUUUACGGUGUAGCAGUGAAAUGCGUAGAUAUCUGGAGGAACACCGGUGGCGAAGGCGGCGUUCUGGACUGUAACUGACACUGAGAAACGAAAGCCAGGGUAGCAAACGGG
rnacentral:rRNA from 1 species